rnacentral:rRNA from 1 species
AGCGAACGCUGGCGGCAGGCUUAACACAUGCAAGUCGAACGGGCACUUCGGUGCUAGUGGCAGACGGGUGAGUAACGCGUGGGAACGUGCCUUUCGGUUCGGAAUAAUCCAGGGAAACUUGGACUAAUACCGGAUACGCCCUUCGGGGGAAAGAUUUAUCGCCGAAAGAUCGGCCCGCGUCUGAUUAGCUAGUUGGUGAGGUAAAGGCUCACCAAGGCGACGAUCAGUAGCUGGUCUGAGAGGAUGAUCAGCCACAUUGGGACUGAGACACGGCCCAAACUCCUACGGGAGGCAGCAGUGGGGAAUAUUGGACAAUGGGCGCAAGCCUGAUCCAGCCAUGCCGCGUGAGUGAUGAAGGCCUUAGGGUUGUAAAGCUCUUUUGUCCGGGAAGAUAAUGACUGUACCGGAAGAAUAAGCACCGGCUAACUACGUGCCAGCCGCCGCAGUAAAAC